rnacentral:rRNA from 1 species
GAUGAACGCUGGCGGCGUGCCUAAUACAUGCAAGUCGAGCGAACAGAUGAGGAGCUUGCUCCUCUGACGUUAGCGGCGGACGGGUGAGUAACACGUGGAUACCCUACCUAUAAGACUGGGAUAACUUCGGGAAACCGGAGCUAAUACCGGAUAAUAUAUUGAACCGCAUGGUUCAAUAGUGAAAGACGGUUUUGCUGUCACUUAUAGAUGGAUCCGCGCCGCAUUAGCUAGUUGGUAAGGUAACGGCUUACCAAGGCGACGAUGCGUAGCCGACCUGAGAGGGUGAUCGGCCACACUGGAACUGAGACACGGUCCAGACUCCUACGGGAGGCAGCAGUAGGGAAUCUUCCGCAAUGGGCGAAAGCCUGACGGAGCAACGCCGCGUGAGUGAUGAAGGUCUUCGGAUCGUAAAACUCUGUUAUUAGGGAAGAACAAAUGUGUAAGUAACUAUGCACGUCUUGACGGUACCUAAUCAGAAAGCCACGGCUAACUACGUG